rnacentral:lncRNA from 1 species
AUUUCGCAAAAUUUCUCAAAUUUUUCCACAAAGACCACCCAUUCAUAUCUUUUUUUCCUUCUCAUCAUUCUUUCCCUUGUUGCAAUUUUCAUUGAUAAAAAUGCCUUUAUCUGAAUAUUGAGACAUCUUCAUGAAAAGCUCUUCUAAAAAAUUCUUCACAUUAGCCGCAGAUAUCUCGUUAUUUAAUUCACCUCUUGGUGUUGAGCUAUACUUCUCUGCAUUUCCUUUUGCCUCCUGCACAACAACAUUUCCACUUACCUCAUGAACAACAAUUUUAUUACAUGUAGCAUUAUGUCAACUUAAAUAUUUAUUACUUGUAGCACUACUCACCCCAUAAUUUUUUGUAAUACUAUCCUCUGCUUCAGCUAACGAUUUCUCCUGAAAAUAUUCAGUCAUUCAUACAAACAACAAAUAAAGUUCAUUAACCCAUAUAAUUUGUAAUUAGUACGUGCUUAAUUAUCUCAUCAUUGGAUCAAUCUUUUCUCCCACCGUCUUUCUCUUUCCAUUGGUGAUGAUCUUCUCCAUCAUCUAUAAGUACCAAGAAAUCAAGUUAGUUAUUAGUUUAUAAU